rnacentral:rRNA from 1 species
CAGUAGCCGCGGUAAUACGUAGGUGGCAAGCGUUAUCCGGAAUUAUUGGGCGUAAAGGGUUCGCAGGCGGUUUCUUAAGUCUGAUGUGAAAGCCCCCGGCUCAACCGGGGAGGGUCAUUGGAAACUGGGAAACUUGAGUGCAGAAGAGGAGAGUGGAGUUCCACGUGUAGCGGUGAAAUGCGUAGAGAUGUGGAGGAACACCAGUGGCGAAGGCGACUCUCUGGUCUGUAACUGACGCUGAGGAGCGAAAGCGUGGGGAGCGAACAGGAUUAGAUACCCGCGUAGUCCCUGUCUCUUAUAC